rnacentral:rRNA from 1 species
CAGUCGACGAUGAAGCCCUUCGGGGUGGAUUAGUGGCGAACGGGUGAGUAACACGUGGGCAAUCUGCCCUUCACUCUGGGACAAGCCCUGGAAACGGGGUCUAAUACCGGAUAACACCGGCCUCCGCAUGGAGGCUGGUUGAAAGCUCCGGCGGUGAAGGAUGAGCCCGCGGCCUAUCAGCUUGUUGGUGGGGUAAUGGCCUACCAAGGCGACGACGGGUAGCCGGCCUGAGAGGGCGACCGGCCACACUGGGACUGAGACACGGCCCAGACUCCUACGGGAGGCAGCAGUGGGGAAUAUUGCACAAUGGGCGAAAGCCUGAUGCAGCGACGCCGCGUGAGGGAUGACGGCCUUCGGGUUGUAAACCUCUUUCAGCAGGGAAGAAGCGAAAGUGACGGUACCUGCAGAAGAAGCGCCGGCUAACUACGUGCCAGCAGCCGCGGUAAUACGUAGGGCGCAAGCGUUGUCCGGAAUUAUUGGGCGUAAAGAGCUCGUAGGCGGCUUGUCACGUCGGGUGUGAAAGCCCGGGGCUUAACCCCGGGUCUGCAUCCGAUACGGGCAGGCUAGAGUGUGGUAGGGGAGAUCGGAAUUCCUGGUGUAGCGGUGAAAUGCGCAGAUAUCAGGAGGAACACCGGUGGCGAAGGCGGAUCUCUGGGCCAUUACUGACGCUGAGGAGCGAAAGCGUGGGGAGCGAACAGGAUUAGA